GGAACAGGGAGUGCCUUCGGGAGCUUGGAGACAGGUGCUGCAUGGCUGUCGUCAGCUCGUGUCGUGAGAUGUUGGUUAAGUCCCGCAACGAGCGCAACCCUUGCCUUUAGUUGCCAUCAUUCAGUUGGGCACUCUAGAGGGACUGCCGGUGUCAAACCGGAGGAAGGUGGGGAUGACGUCAAGUCCUCAUGGCCUUUAUGCCCAGGGCUACACACGUGCUACAAUGGGCGGUACAAAGAGCAGCGAGCUCGCGAGAGUAAGCAAAUCUCAAAAAGCCGUCCUCAGUUCGGAUUGGAGUCUGCAACUCGACUCCAUGAAGUUGGAAUCGCUAGUAAUCGCGGAUCAGCAUGCCCGCGGUCCGAAUACGUUCCGGCCUU
rnacentral:rRNA from 1 species